UGUUUUCUAAUUUGAAUAUUUACAAAUUUAAAAUUUCUUUUUGAAAGGCGAAAUGAUUUUUAAAAUUUUUGAUUUUUAAUUCUAAAUAUUUAUCUAUUUAUUUAAAAAAUUAAUCUCAUCUCCAAAAUUCACCCCUCAAAUCUGGACUCUAAAUUUAUAUUAGUUAAAGCUAAAUUUAUAUUAUAAUAUAAUAUUUUAUUAGCAUAAUUUUUAUUUUAUUUUUGUUAUAUUUUUCUUUAAUUUUAUCAUUCAAUGGUCAAAAAGGUAAAGUUCAGAAUAUAGUUCUUAUGUAUUUCAAAUUUAAAACCCAACUUAUAAAGAACG
rnacentral:lncRNA from 1 species